rnacentral:misc_RNA from 1 species
AAAGUCGUAACAAGGUCUCCGUUGGUGAACCAGCGGAGGGAUCAUUACAGAGUGUCAAAACUCCCAAACCCCUGUGAACAUACCACUGUUGCUUCGGCGGGUACGCCCCGGGCGCCUCAGCGUGCCCCGGAACCAGGCGCCCGCCGGGGGACCAUCAACUCUUGUCUUUGCCGUACCGUCUGAGUGGACUCAUACAAUGAAUCAAAACUUUCAACAACGGAUCUCUUGGCUCUG